GGUGAAUUAUUCUCUGUAACCUGACUUCUGCCCAUGAGAGGACCUUCCCCAGCAAUCUCCCAACGCCUCAUGAAUAGGUACUGUUCCAGAUCCUGGGGAGACACAGAUGAAAAAGAAAGGCAAAAUCUCUCCCAUCUUGGAGAGGGACCACAUAUCUUGGAUGCCCUUUUUCCAGUGGUUGAAAUUCUAUCCAUCCUUAAGGUACUGUUGACAUCUCUCUCUAAAGGCUGUAGCAACUCCCUAGCCCAGAUUUACUAGUUCUCUGAGCUCCCUAUAUUUAUUUAUUUAUUUGCUUGCUUAUUUACUUGUUUUUGAUGGCGCUUAUCAUAUUCUGCCUUAUAUUUUAAGUAUUUGGUUUUCUUUUUUUAUUUGCUUUUCUUAUUUUUUAACUUUAUUGAGGAAUAAUUGACAAAUAUAAUCGUAUAUAUUUAAAGUGCAAAACAUGAUUAUUUGCUAUACAUAUACAUCAUCAUGGAAUAAUUACCAAUAUCAAUAUAAUUAACACAUCGAAAGACAUACAAAUGACCAAUAGGUAUAUGAAAAGGUGCUCAACAUCACUAAUCAUUGGAGAAGUGUAAAUCAAGACCACAGUGAGUACUUAUUUUUCUUAAAAAGAUUUCUGGACAGUUUGAGGUCACAGACUAUGUGUUUUGUUUUUUGGUUUUUUUAAACUUACUAGUCUCCAUAAUGCUGAGCACAGUUCUUUAUUCAUAAUAAAUGUUCAAUAUUUAUUUGUUUUAUGAAUGAAAAAUCAAAUGAACCUGGGAUCCAGAGUUAGCCCAGGGAUCCAUUCUAAGCAUUUACCUGUUCUCAGUGUCCUUUUCCUGUGUUCCAGUAUAUAAUUUCUAAGCAUUAUUGACCCUUAUGCAACUAUUAUCAUCUAGUCAUUAAAAUCUACAACACUUAAGUGUUUUAAUAUUCAGGAUAUUUAGAAAAUUUUUACAUGGUAUGCAACCAUAAAAUUUAAUAUAAUAGUCUAAUCAAAUGUGAUCAUUUUAAUACAACAUAAACUUAAUGUAAUUAGUUCAAGCACCUAUCAUUCUAAUAUAGACUUUAUAAACUUAAACAUGGUAUUCUUUCCCUUUCCUGAGAAGA